UACGUAGGCAGCGAGCGUUUGUUCGGAGUUACUGGGCGUAAAGGGUGUGUAGGCGGUUCUCUAAGUUUGGUGUGAAAUCUCCCGGCUCAACCGGGAGGGUGCGCCGAAAACUGGAGGGCUAGAGUGCGGGAAGGGAGAGUGGAAUUCCUGGUGUAGCGGUGAAAUGCGUAGAUAUCAGGAGGAACACCGGUGGUGCAGACGGCUCUCUGGACCGCGACUGACGCUGAUGCGCGAAAGCGUGGGGGAGCAAA
rnacentral:rRNA from 1 species